rnacentral:rRNA from 1 species
CCUACGGGUGGCAGCAGUCGGGAAUCUUCCGCAAUGGAGGAAACUCUGACGCAGUGACGCCGCGUGCAGGAAGAAGGUUUUCGGAUUGUAAACUGCUUUAGACAGGGAAGAAAAAAGACAGUACCAGUAGUAUAAGCUCCGGCGAACUACGUUCCAGCAGCCGCGGUAAUACGUAGGGAGCAAGCGUUAUCCGGAAUUAUUGGGUGUAAAGGGUCCGUAGACGGGAAAACAAGUGAGUUGUGAAAUCCCUCAGCUUAACUGAGGAAGUGCAACUAAAACUAUUUUUCUUGAGUGCUGGAGAGGAAAGUGGAAUUCCAAGUGUAGCGGUGAAAUGCGUAGAGAUUAGGAGGAACACCAGUGGCGAAGGCGACUUUCUGGACAGUAACUGACGUUGAGGCACGAAAGUGUGGGGAGCAAACAGGAUUAGAUACCCUAGUAGUC